ACAGUACUGACGCUGAGAUGCGAAGCGUGGGGAGCAAACAGGAUCAGAUACUCUGGUAGUCCACGCUGUAAACGAUGUCGAUUUGGAGUUUGUUGCCUAGAGUGAUGGGCUCCGAAGCUAACGCGAUAAAUCGACCGCCUGGGGAGUACGGCCGCAAGGUUAAAACUCAAAUGAAUUGACGGGGGCCCGCACAAGCGGUGGAGCAUGUGGUUUAAUUCGAUGCAACGCGAAGAACCUUACCUGGUCUUGACAUCCAUAGAAUUCUGCAGAGAUGUGGGAGUGCCUUCGGGAACUAUGAGACAGGUGCUGCAUGGCUGUCGUCAGCUCGUGUUGUGAAAUGUUGGGUUAAGUCCCGCAACGAGCGCAACCCUUAUUCUUUGUUGCCAGCGAUUUGGUCGGGAACUCAAAGGAGACCGCCGUUGAUAAAGCGGAGGAAGGUGGGGACGACGUCAAGUCAUCAUGGCCCUUACGACCAGGGCUACACACGUGCUACAAUGGCGUAUACAAAGGGAAGCGAAGGUGCGAGCUGGAGCGGAUCUCAUAAAGUACGUCUAAGUUCGGAUUGGAGUCUGCAACUCGACUCCAUGAAGUCGGAAUCGCUAGUAAUCGUAGAUCAGAAUGCUACGGUGAAUACGUUCCCGGGCCUUGUACACACCGCCCGUCACACCAUGGGAGUGGGUUGCACCAGAAGUAGAUAGCUUAACCGCGAGGGGGGCGUUUACCACGGUGUGAUUCAUGACUGGGGUGAAGUCGUAACAAGGUAACCA
rnacentral:rRNA from 1 species